CCAGUGGACUGGGAGAGGCAGACCCACCCUCAGCGUGGGCACCAUCUAAUCAGCUGCCAGCAUGGCUAGAAUAAGGCAGGCAGAAGAACAUGGAAGGACCUGACUUGCUGUCUCCCGGCCUUCAUCUUUCUCCCGUGCUGGAUGCUUCCUGCCCUCGAGCAUCGCACUCCAGGCUCUUCAGCCUUGGGACUCUUGGACCUUCAGCCACAGACUGAAGGCUGGACUGUUCGCUUCCCUACUUCUGAGACUUUGAAACUUGGACUGGCUUCCUUGCUCCUCAGCUUGCAGACGGCCUCUUGUGGGACCUCACCUUAUGAUUGUGGGGAGAAGCUGGCUGUCGGCUCCCCAAUCUGCCAGUCUGGG
rnacentral:lncRNA from 1 species